rnacentral:rRNA from 1 species
UAAAAAAGCUCGUAGUUGGAUUUCGGAGUGGGCCAGUUGGUCCGCCGCAAGGUGUGUUACUGACUGGUCUGCUCUUCUUCGCAAAGACUGCGUGUGCUCUUUGUUGAGUGUGCGUAGGAUUUACGACGUUUACUUUGAAAAAAUUAGAGUGUUCAAAGCAGGCUAUUGCUUGAAUACAUGAGCAUGGAAUAAUGGAAUAGGACUUUGGUCCCAUUUUGUUGGUUUCUAGGACCGAAGUAAUGAUUAAGAGGGACAAUUGGGGGCAUCCGUAUUUCGUUGUCAGAGGUGAAAUUCUUGGAUUUACGAAAGACGAACAACUGCGAAAGCACUUGCCAAGAGUGUUUUCAUUAAUCAAGAACGAAAGUUAGAGGAUCGAAGACGAUCAGAUACCGUCCUAGUUCUAACCAUAAACGAUGUCGACUAGGGAUCAGCGGGCGUUAUCGUACGACCCCGUUGGCACCUUACGGGAAACCAAAGUUUCUGGAUUCCGGGGGAAGUAUAGUCGCAAGGCCGAAACUUAAAGGAAUUGACGGAAGGGCACCACCAGGAGUGGAGCCUGUGGCUCAAUUUGACUCAACACGGGAAAACUUACCAGGUCCAGACAUAGUAAGGAUUGA